UUAGCAAACUUUACCCCUGUACUAGUACUGUAUAGGCCUUUGCAAAAUUAUGACUGAGACAGUGAAAGAGAUCUAACCUAACCACUCUAUUUUGCUUCUAACCUCCAACUUGUCCUUGUUCAUUACUGGACGUAAUGGCUGAACUAACUUUGGGAAUAACUUAGUUUAUAGUUUAUAGUUUAAAACAAAGAUGGCUGGGCACAGUGGCUCACACCUACAAUC
rnacentral:lncRNA from 1 species